GGGGUAGCUUACACUUAUAACUUUAAGCACCUCUCUAUAGUGCUAUCUGGCUUCUUCGUUCACAGUUUCUUUCUACCUGCUUAUGGGUAGAUAGAGGCCUUAGACCGAACAAAGAAGACAGAUAAAAAAAAUUUAAAAAAAAAAAUAAGGAAGAAAGAAGCCAAAUAUUUAAGAGCUUCUUUCUUUCAUCAUGGCUUCUAUCACAUUUGAGGAACUCAAGAAUGAAAAUAUAGAUCUCGAAAAAAUUCCCGUUGAAGAGGUCUUUGAAAAACUAAAAUGUACGAGAGAGGGUCUAACAUCCGCAGAAGGAGAGAAGAGGCUCCAAAGUUUUGGUCCCAACAAAUUAGAAGAGAAAACGGAGAGCAAGUUCCUAAAGUUCUUGGGUUUUAUGUGGAAUCCAUUAUCAUGGGUUAUGGAGUCUGCAGCUAUCAUGGCCAUUGUAUUGGCUAACGGAGGGGGCAAGCCACCGGAUUGGCAAGAUUUCACUGGUAUUGUGGUGCUGCUUAUCAUCAACUCAACCAUCAGUUUCAUUGAGGAAAACAAUGCAGGCAAUGCUGCUGCUGCUUUGAUGGCUGGUCUUGCACCCAAAUGCAAGGUGCUGAGGGAUGGAAAAUGGAGUGAGGAAGAAGCAGCAAUUUUGGUACCAGGAGAUAUGAUUAGCAUCAAGUUGGGAGAUAUUGUCCCUGCUGAUGCCCGUCUCUUGGAAGGAGAUCCUCUCAAAAUUGACCAAUCUGCUCUUACUGGUGAGUCCUUGCCAGUCACAAGGAGCCCCGGUGAGGGAGUCUUCUCUGGUUCCACCUGCAAACAAGGUGAGAUUGAGGCUGUUGUCAUUGCCACUGGUAUUAACACCUUCUUUGGCAAGGCUGCACACCUUGUAGACAGCACCAACAAUGUUGGUCACUUCCAAAUGGUGUUGACAUCCAUUGGUAACUUCUGUAUCUGCUCCAUUGCUGUGGGCAUGGUGAUUGAGCUCAUUGUCAUGUAUCCCAUCCAGCAUAGGUCUUAUAGGGAUGGUAUUGAUAAUUUGUUGGUGCUUCUCAUUGGUGGUAUCCCAAUUGCCAUGCCAACUGUUUUGUCUGUGACCAUGGCUAUUGGGUCUCAUCGAUUGUCCCAACAAGGAGCCAUCACCAAGAGAAUGACAGCCAUUGAAGAAAUGGCAGGGAUGGAUGUUCUCUGCAGUGACAAAACUGGAACUCUCACCCUUAAUAAGCUUACUGUGGACAAGAACUUGAUCGAGGUGUUCGCCCCCGGCGUGGACAAGGACACCCUUGUCUUAUUCUCUGCCAGAGCUUCUAGGACCGAAAAUCAGGAUGCCAUUGAUACAUCAAUUGUGGGAAUGUUAAGUGACCCAAAGGAGGCAAGAGCAGGAAUCACCGAGGUGCAUUUCUUGCCUUUUAAUCCUGUGGACAAGCGCACAGCUAUUACCUACAUUGACAGCAAUGGUGACUGGCACAGAAGCAGCAAAGGUGCUCCUGAGGAAAUCAUUGCACUUUGUAGCCUCAAGGGAGAGUCACUGAAAAAGGCUCACAAGGUCAUUGAUGAAUUUGCUGACCGUGGUCUGCGUUCCUUGGGUGUUGCUCGCCAGACUGUUUCUGAAAAGACCAAGGAGAGUGCAGGAGAACCGUGGGAGUUCUUGGGUCUCUUACCCCUCUUUGACCCUCCAAGGCAUGAUAGUGCUGAGACUAUUCGUCGUGCUCUUGACCUUGGUGUUAAUGUUAAAAUGAUCACUGGUGACCAACUUGCCAUUGGCAAAGAAACCGGUCGCAGGCUUGGAAUGGGCACCAACAUGUACCCUUCAUCCUCCCUCCUUGGUGGUGAAAGCAAAGAUGCUGCCAUUGCAUCAAUGUCAAUUGAUGAACUCAUUGAGAAUGCUGAUGGAUUCGCCGGAGUCUUCCCUGAGCACAAGUACGAGAUUGUGAAGAGGUUGCAGGAUAGGAAGCACAUUUGUGGAAUGACCGGUGAUGGUGUGAACGAUGCACCAGCACUGAAGAAGGCAGACAUUGGCAUUGCAGUGGAUGAUGCAACCGACGCAGCAAGGAGUGCCUCUGACAUUGUCUUGACCGAGCCAGGACUCAGUGUGAUUGUGAGUGCAGUGUUGACAAGCAGGGCCAUCUUCCAGAGGAUGAAGAACUACACCAUCUAUGCCGUUUCCAUCACAGUUCGUGUGGUUUUUGGGUUCUUGCUCGUUGCUCUCAUCUGGAAGUUCGACUUCUCUCCCUUCAUGGUUCUCAUCAUUGCCGUCUUGAACGAUGGAACCAUCAUGACCAUCUCAAAGGACAGGGUGAAGCCUUCUCCUUUGCCCGACUCAUGGAAGCUUAAGGAAAUCUUCGCCACUGGAGUUGUUCUUGGAGCAUACAUGGCCAUCAUGACCGCAGUCUUUUUCUACGUCGUUCAUGACACUAAUUUCUUCUCUAACACUUUUGGUGUCCACCCAAUUGCAGAAAGUGAGGAGCAGCUUAACUCUGCUCUCUACCUUCAAGUGAGUAUCAUUAGUCAGGCACUCAUUUUUGUGACUAGGUCCAGAGGCUGGUCAUAUUUUGAACGCCCAGGCACCAUGCUCUGUGUUGCCUUCCUUUGUGCACAGUUGGUGGCCACUGUGAUUGCUGUGUAUGCACAUUGGGACUUUGCAAAAAUCAAUGGCAUUGGAUGGGAAUGGGCUGGGGUAAUAUGGAUCUACAGCAUCAUUACCUAUAUCCCUCUUGACAUCCUAAAGUUUUUAAUACGCAUGGGACUCACAGGCAGUGCAUGCGGCAACUAGCUCCAGAGCAAGGUUUAGAACAAGUAGAUUGCAUUCACAUACAAGGACUAUAGUAAGGGAGAAAGGGAAGCCCAAUGGGCUCUGGCCCAUCGCACUAUUCAGGUCCUCAAGCCCCUGAAACCCCCCUUGAACAAUAACCAUGAGCAUUCUGAAAGACUGAAAUUGCUGAACAGGCCAAAAGACGUGCUGGGGCAACCAGGCUGAGAGAGCUACACAAGUUGAGUCGGUUGUGAAGUUGAAAGGUCUUGACAUCGAAAUCAUGCAACAACACUACAAAGUAUAAAAGUAAUCCUACGAAUGGAAAAUGAGCUGAUUCACACUAGUAAAAGAAGUUAAAAUAGGCUAUUCGCGUAGGUGUGACCAUAAGUUUAGAAGACAAGAUGAAUUCGAAUUGUCUAUACUUUUACUCGUCUUUAGCUUACUUUCACUUCCUUUCCCCCUAAAAUCCAAUGUCAUUCUUUUGAAAUUGGAGUAAAAUUAGAGAAAUAGGUUUUCAUGUAAUUUUUAAAUUUCAUUAAUAUUUUUUAUUCCUAUUUUUAUGGAGAAAUCACAUUAAUAUUUA